CGGAGGAUCCGAGCGUUAUCCGGAUUUAUUGGGUUUAAAGGGUGCGUAGGCGGCCUGUUAAGUCAGGGGUGAAAGACGGUAGCUCAACUAUCGCAGUGCCCUUGAUACUGAUGGGCUUGAAUGUACUAGAGGUAGGCGGAAUGUGACAAGUAGCGGUGAAAUGCAUAGAUAUGCCACAGAACACCAAUUGCGAAGGCAGCUUACUAUGGUAUUAUUGACGCUGAGGCACGAAAGCGUGGGGAUCAAACAGGAUUAGAUACCCUGGUAGUCCACGCCCUAAACGAUGAAUACUCGAUGUUAGCGAUAUACAGUUAGCGUCAAAGCGAAAGCGUUAAGUAUUCCACCUGGGGAGUACGCCCGCAAGGGUG
rnacentral:rRNA from 1 species